rnacentral:rRNA from 1 species
AGUCGAGCGAGCGGAACUAACAGAUUUACUUCGGUAAUGACGUUAGGAAAGCGAGCGGCGGAUGGGUGAGUAACACGUGGGGAAUCUGCCCCAUAGUCUGGGAUACCACUUGGAAACAGGUGCUAAUACCGGAUAAGAAAGCAGAUCGCAUGAUCAGCUUUUAAAAGGCGGCGUAAGCUGUCGCUAUGGGAUGGCCCCGCGGUGCAUUAGCUAGUUGGUAAGGUAAAGGCUUACCAAGGCGAUGAUGCAUAGCCGAGUUGAGAGACUGAUCGGCCACAUUGGGACUGAGACACGGCCCAAACUCCUACGGGAGGCAGCAGUAGGGAAUCUUCCACAAUGGACGCAAGUCUGAUGGAGCAACGCCGCGUGAGUGAAGAAGGUUUUCGGAUCGUAAAGCUCUGUUGUUGGUGAAGAAGGAUAGAGGUAGUAACUGGCCUUUAUUUGACGGUAAUCAACCAGAAAGUCACGGCUAACUACGUGCCAGCAGCCGCGGUAAUACGUAGGUGGCAAGCGUUGUCCGGAUUUAUUGGGCGUAAAGCGAGCGCAGGCGGGAGAAUAAGUCUGAUGUGAAAGCCCUCGGCUUAACCGAGGAACUGCAUCGGAAACUGUUUUUCUUGAGUGCAGAAGAGGAGAGUGGAACUCCAUGUGUAGCGGUGGAAUGCGUAGAUAUAUGGAAGAACACCAGUGGCGAAGGCGGCUCUCUGGUCUGCAACUGACGCUGAGGCUCGAAAGCAUGGGUAGCGAACAGGAUUAGAUACCCUGGUAGUCCAUGCCGUANACGAUGAGUGCUAAGUGUUGGGAGGUUUCCGCCUCUCAGUGCUGCAGCUAACGCAU